CGAGAAUCUUCGGCAAUGGGCGCAAGCCUGACCGAGCGACGCCGCGUGGAGGAUGAAGGCCUUCGGGUUGUAAACUCCUGUCGUGGGGGAGGAAAGCGCAAGCUUGACCUAUCCCAGGAGGAAGCACGGGCUAAGUUCGUGCCAGCAGCCGCGGUAAGACGAACCGUGCGAACGUUGUUCGGAAUCACUGGGCUUAAAGGGCGCGUAGGCGGGCCAUCAAGUCCGGGGUGAAAUCUUUCGGCUUAACCGGAAAAUUGCCUUGGAUACUGGUGGUCUUGAGGGAAGUAGGGGUCUGCGGAACUUCCGGUGGAGCGGUGAAAUGUGUUGAUAUCGGAAGGAACGCCGGUGGCGAAAGCGGCGGACUGGGCUUCUUCUGACGCUGAGGCGCGAAAGCUAGGGGAGCAAACGGGAUUAGAUACCCCGGUAGUCCUAGCCCUAAACGAUGGGUACUAGGUAGCAGACUUGACAUGGGUUUGCUGCCGAAGCAAAAGUGCUAAGUACCCCGCCUGGGGAGUAUGGUCGCAAGGCUG
rnacentral:rRNA from 1 species